rnacentral:rRNA from 1 species
UGGGAUGACGUCAAGUCCUCAUGGCCUUUAUGUCUAGGGCUACACACGUACUACAAUGGCCGGUACAAAGGGCAGCCACUCAGCGAUGAGGCGCUAAUCCCAUAAAGCCGGUCUCAGUCCGGAUCGCAGUCUGCAACUCGACUGCGUGAAGUUGGAAUCGCUAGUAAUCGCGGAUCAGCAUGCCGCGGUGAAUACGUUCCCGGGCCUU